rnacentral:ncRNA from 1 species
GCGGCUCACUACGGGCGCUGAGUCGAAGUAUCGUCGGCAUCCAACCUCGAGAGUUACAACUCGAGGAGAUGCUGACGUGCAGAGGCAAAGCUGAGAUUGUACCGUAAAUACUCGAUCAAGUUAAUGCUUGCGUGGGAAAAGUGUUGCCGCUCCAGA